UACUAUGCUAUUAAUAGCACGAAGCACUUGGUGCUACCAAGUUUUCCGCCAUUAGAUCUACCCUUUUGAUCAUUUUCACCCGUUAGAUCAUACUAUUCAACCAACCACCCACUCAACCCUAGAGGGCUCACAUUAUCCUAACCACACAUCUCUUAAUCCAAUGGCAAAAAACUUGGUAGCACCAAUGACUUGGUGCUAUUAAUAGCAUAGUAGCCUAGUUC
rnacentral:lncRNA from 1 species